CAGAGAUGCUGAAAGAGUUCAGAGGGAAACGCUGAAGAAGAUUUUGGAGGAAAAUGGGUCGGCUGAGUAUUUGCAGAACUUGGGACUUGAUGGAAGAACUGAUCCUCAGAGCUUCAAGGACUGUGUCCCGCUUGUUACUCACGAUGAUUUGGAGUCUUAUAUUCAGAGAAUCGCCGAUGGGGAUUCUUCCCCUAUUCUCACUGGAAAACCAAUCAAAACCAUUUCGUUGAGCUCUGGUACUACUAAAGGAAG
rnacentral:misc_RNA from 1 species